UCGGACACAUCAAUUUAUGCGCCUCCCGAAACUUUUGGCGCACUAUUCCACAUUUCAUUCCUAUUACGGCGGGAAAGGGGGCACUCCUUGGUUCGCGUCGUGGCGGGAAUAAGGAAGAAAGAAGAAGAAAAAUAGAAGAAAAAGAAGUGCGAAACGAAAAAGCAUGGCGGCGACCCCCAGGCCUUCUUCUCUCUUCUUCUAUUUUUCUUGU
ensembl:ncRNA C35C5.13 ncRNA